AGAGCACACGGAGGAUGCCUAGGCGCUAGGAGCCGAAGAAGGACGUGGCGAACAACGAUAAGGCCUCGGGGAGCUGUAAGCCAGCUUUGAUCCGGGGAUGUCCGAAUGGGGCAACCCGGCUGGUGUAAUAGCCAGUCACUCGUAACUGAAUACAUAGGUUGCGAAGAGGCAGAGCAGGGGAACUGAAACAUCUAAGUACCUUGAGGAAGAGAAAACACGUAGUGAUUCCGUCAGUAGCGGCGAGCGAACGCGGAAGAGCCUAAACCAAGAGGCUUGCCUCUUGGGGUUGUGGGACGUCUCACAUGGAGUUACAAAGGAAUAGGGUAGGCGAAGAGGUCUGGAAAGGCCCGCUAAAAGAGGUAAAAGCCCUGUAACCGAAAGUCUAUUCCCUCCGAGACGGAUCCCGAGUAGGGCGGGGCACGUGAAACCCCGUAUGAAUCUGCCAGGACCAUCAGGUAAGGCUAAAUACUCCCUAGGGACCGAUAGUGAAGCAGUACCGUGAGGGAACGGUGAAAAGCACCCCGGCAGGGGAGUGAAAGAGAUCCUGAAACCGUGUGCUUACAAGAACUCAGAGCCCUAUGAUGAAACUGCGUUUCAUCCCGGGUGAUGGCGUGCCUUUUGUAGAAUGAACCGGCGAGUUACGUUCCCGUGCAAGGUUAAGGUGAGAAGCCGUAGCCGCAGCGAAAGCGAGUCUGAAUAGGGCGAAUAAGUACGUGGGCGUAGACCCGAAACCGUGUGAUCUACCCCUGUCCAGGGUGAAGGUGCGGUAACACGCACUGGAGGCCCGAACCCACGAACGUUGAAAAGUUCGGGGAUGAGGUGGGGGUAGCGGAGACAUUCCAAUCGAACUCGGAGAUAGCUGGUUCUCCCCGAAAUAGCUUUAGGGCUAGCCUCGGUGGUACAGUCGUGGAGGUAGAGCACUGAUUGGGUGCGGGGCCCGCAAGGGUUACCAAGCUCAGUCAAACUCCGAAUGCCAUAGACUGAUUAACCGGGAGUCAGACAGUGAGUGCUAAGAUCCAGUGUCAAAAGGGAAACAGCCCAGACCAUCAGCUAAGGUCCCCAAGCGUGUGUUAAGUGGGAAAGGAUGUGGAGUUGCCCAGACAACCAGGAUGUUGGCUUAGAAGCAGCCACCAUUUAAAGAGUGCGUAAUAGCUCACUGGUCGAGUGACUCUGCGCCGAAAAUGUAACGGGGCUAAACACACCACCGAAGCUAUGGCUUGAUGCUUGCAUCAGGGGUAGGGGAGCGUUGUGUAUGCGUUGAAGGUGUACCGUAAGGAGCGCUGGAGAGUACACAAGUGAGAAUGCCGGUAUGAGUAACGAAAAGAUCAGUGAGAAUCUGAUCCGCCGAAAGCCUAAGGGUUCCUGAGGAAGGUUCGUCCGCUCCGGGUAAGUCGGGACCUAAGGCGAUGUCGACAGGGGUAGUCGAAGGGCAGCAGGUGGAAAUUCCUGUACCACCGUAAACCGUUAUGAGCGAUGGGGUGACGCAGCAGGGUAGUGACGCGGACUGAUGGAUGUCCGUCCAAGCAGUGAGAGGGUAGCAUAGGCAAAUCCGUGCUACAUAACCUUGGGCUGUGAUGGGGAGCGAAAAUUGCAGUAGCGAAGGUCAUGAUCUCACACUGCCAAGAAAAGCCUCUAGCCAGGUGAAGGUGCCCGUACCGUAAACCGACACAGGUAGGCGAGAAGAGAAUUCUAAGGCGCGCGGAAGAACUCUCGUUAAGGAACUCGGCAAAAUGACCCCGUAACUUCGGGAGAAGGGGUGCCUCGGUAGGGUGAAUAGCCCGAGGGGGCCGCAGUGAAAAGGCCCAAGCGACUGUUUAGAAAAAACACAGGUCGGUGCGAAGCCGUAAGGCGAAGUAUACGGGCUGACGCCUGCCCGGUGCUGGAAGGUUAAGGGGAGUGGUUAGGGGUAACCCGAAGCUAUGAACUGAAGCCCCAGUAAACGGCGGCCGUAACUAUAACGGUCCUAAGGUAGCGAAAUUCCUUGUCAGGUAAAUUCUGACCCGCACGAAUGGCGUAACGACUUGGGCGCUGUCUCAACGGCCGAUCCGAUGAAAUUGUAAUACCUGUGAAGAUGCAGGUUACCCGCGACAAGACGGAAAGACCCCCUGGAGCUUUACUGCAGCUUGAUAUUGGACUUUGAUACGAUUUGUACAGGAUAGGUGGGAGCCUAGGAAGAGGGAGCGCCAGCUUCCUUGGAGGCGCCGUUGGGAUACCACCCUGAUCGUAUCGGAGUUCUAACCUGGUGCCCUGAUCGGGCAUGGGGACAGUGUCAGGUGGGCAGUUUGACUGGGGCGGUCGCCUCCUAAAGAGUAACGGAGGCGCCCCAAGGUUCCCUCAGAAUGGUUGGAAAUCAUUCGAAGAGUGCAAAGGCAAAAGGGAGCUUGACUGCGAGACUGACAAGUCGAGCAGGGACGAAAGUCGGGCUUAGUGAUCCGGUGGUACCGCAUGGAAGGGCCAUCGCUCAACGGAUAAAAGCUACCCUGGGGAUAACAGGCUUAUCUCCGCCAAGAGUCCACAUCGACGGGGAGGUUUGGCACCUCGAUGUCGGCUCAUCGCAUCCUGGGGCUGCAGUAGGUCCCAAGGGUUGGGCUGUUCGCCCAUUAAAGCGGUACGCGAGCUGGGUUCAGAACGUCGUGAGACAGUUCGGUCCCUAUCUGUCGUGGGCGUAGGAAAUUUGAGAGGAGCUGUCCUUAGUACGAGAGGACCGGGAUGGACGCACCGCUGGUGCACCAGUUGUUCCGCCAGGAGCACAGCUGGGUAGCUAAGUGCGGAAGGGAUAAGCGCUGAAAGCAUCUAAGCGUGAAGCCUCCCUCACGAUGAGAUUUCCCAAUUUAGUAAGACCCCUUGA
rnacentral:rRNA from 1 species